AGAGUUUGAUCCUGGCUCAGGAUGAACGCUAGCGGCAGGCCUAAUACAUGCAAGUCGAACGGUAAAUAUUUAGCAAUAAAUAUGAGAGUGACGUACGGGUGCGUAACACGUAUGCAACCUACCCUUUACAGGCGGAUAGCUCGGGGAAACUCGAAUUAACCCGCCGUAAUAUAAUUGGAUGGCAUCAUCUGGUUAUUAAAUCUACGGAGGUAAAGGAUGGGCAUGCGUCUGAUUAGUUAGUUGGCGGGGUAACGGCCCACCAAGACGAUGAUCAGUAGGGGAACUGAGAGGUUGAUCCCCCACACUGGCACUGAGAUACGGGCCAGACUCCUACGGGAGGCAGCAGUAGGGAAUAUUGGUCAAUGGAUGGAAGUCUGAACCAGCCAUGCCGCGUGCAGGAAGAAGGCCUUCUGGGUUGUAAACUGCUUUUGCCAGGGGAUAAAAUGACCAUGCGAGGUUAAUUGAAGGUACCUGGUGAAUAAGCCACGGCUAACUACGUGCCAGCAGCCGCGGUAAUACGUAGGUGGCAAGCGUUGUCCGGAUUUAUUGGGUUUAAAGGGUGCGUAGGCGGCUUAUUAAGUCAGUGGUGAAAUACUCUAGCUCAACUAGAGGGGUGCCAUUGAUACUGAUGAGCUUGAGUACAGAUGAGGUAGGCGGAAUUGACGGUGUAGCGGUGAAAUGCUUAGAUAUCGUCAAGAACACCUAUAGCGAAGGCAGCUUACUAGGCUGUAACUGACGCUGAGGCACGAAAGUGUGGGGAUCAAACAGGAUUAGAUACCCUGGUAGUCCACGCCCUAAACGAUGUCAACUGGUUGUUGGGUCUUCACUGACUCAGUAACGAAGCUAACGCGUGAAGUUGACCGCCUGGGGAGUACGGCCGCAAGGUUGAAACUCAAAGGAAUUGACGGGGACCCGCACAAGCGGUGGAUGAUGUGGUUUAAUUCGAUGCAACGCGAAAAACCUUACCCACCUUUGACAUGUACGGAAUUUGCCAGAGAUGGCUUAGUGCUCGAAAGAGAGCCGUAACACAGGUGCUGCAUGGCUGUCGUCAGCUCGUGUCGUGAGAUGUUGGGUUAAGUCCCGCAACGAGCGCAACCCUUGUCAUUAGUUGCUACAUUUAGUUGGGCACUCUAAUGAGACUGCCGGUGAUAAACCGGAGGAAGGUGGGGAUGACGUCAAGUCCUCAUGGCCCUUAUAGGUGGGGCUACACACGUCAUACAAUGGCUGGUACAAAGGGUUGCCAACCCGCGAGGGGGAGCUAAUCCCAUAAAACCAGUCGUAGUCCGGAUCGCAGUCUGCAACUCGACUGCGUGAAGUCGGAAUCGCUAGUAAUCGUGGAUCAGAAUGUCACGGUGAAUACGUUCCCGGGUCUUGUACACACCGCCCGUCACACCAUGGGAGCGGGUUCUGCCAGAAGUAGUUAGCCUAACCGCAAGGAGGGCGAUUACCACGGCAGGGUUCGUGACUGGGGUGAAGUCGUAACAAGGUA
rnacentral:rRNA from 1 species